GUGAAGUAUUUUGCUCAAGGUCGUUCAUCAAAUUAGUAGUUUAAUUAACUCAGUGUUCUAGGAAGCAGGGUAGUAGAAAAGCAUGGGAUUCGGAGUCUGAAAUCUUCCUUGGUUUCUGGUCCUUGUAGGCUGUUUUACAAGUGUAUCUUGGGCAAAUCCCUUAACGUCUUGCCAUUUAUUAAGGGCUUACUUACCACGUGGCAAACAAUCCACUUUGCAUGCUGUGUCAAUUACAUGCAGUAUGUCGUGUAGUUAUUACUGUCCCCAUUUUAUGAGGUAGUUUAGGUUUAAAGAUAUUAGAAAUUUACCCAAAGUUACGCAGUUAUAAACAUUGUAGUAAUUUCAAACUCAGGUCUUCGUGACUGCAAAGGCUGCUGUCUUAAGUAUUGUAAUACAUUAGAGCUCCGGAUUCCCUCCCACUCAAAACAGAGACUGAGACUCCAACCAAUUUCCACCAUUAUUGGGAGUCAAACGAGAGAGACUGUGGCAAUGUAUUCUAAGCUGUACAAAGGUAUAAACAUAUUCACUAGAUUUGUAGAAUGAAGUUAUUCCUUCCCUAUACUUUCCACUACAACAAUUCAGCCAAAAAGAUGGCUUUCAUACUAAGCAUAAGAAGGAACUUCACUGUAAUUAUGAUAUUCUAACCAAGAAUAUAUGCAUAUCUAGGCAAUAACCAAAGUGAAUAGAAUAAAAUUUAAUUCCUGAUAGAUUAAAUAGGCAAUAGCAAGGAAUGCUAACGCUCCUCAUAGCGUUCUUGUUGGAAGAAUCAUCUAGGAGGCAUUGGGAUUUCUGGUGCUUUUUAAGCAAUGAGAGAUAUCAGUCCACUGAAUGAGGAAGAGAAUAACGUUUAGUUUCGGACUAAAAGUUCAUCUGGACUACGGAAAACACGUUUGCCUCAAUCAGUGAAGAAGGUAUGCUGAGAGCUGAAAGAAAAGGAAAGCAGCAACAGUGAGAGCUCAGAAAUUCCCAGACUGUUUUGAUGAUAAGGUCCAAGAACUUGCCAUGUGAUCCAUCACUACUAGACUCCCACAACUGCAUUAGAUUUGUUCAGGAUUUUCAUAUAAUUUUCAUAACUGGCUAAGCAUUGGAAAUGGAUGGGGAGAAGGCCUGAUGAAAAUUACUGAGGAAGCCUCUUAGCCUAUGUGCUCUGAGAGUAGUGACACCUAGCAGUCGUUAAGACCACUUAAAUUAUCCUAAGACAAUGGAUGUGAACAGGCACUUUUCAAAAGAAGACAUACAUGCAGCCAACAAUCAAAUGAAAAAAAGCUCUACAUUACUGAUCAUUAGAGAAAUGCAAAUCAAAACCACA
rnacentral:lncRNA from 1 species